rfam:Felis catus isolate Cinnamon breed Abyssinian chromosome X, whole genome shotgun sequence.
GCCUGGAUGGCUCAGUCAGCUGAGUGUCCGACUUUAGCUCAGGUCAUGAUCUCACAGUUCGUGGGUUCGAGCCCCGCAUCAGGCU